CCUACGGGGGGCAGCAGUGGGGAAUAUUGCACAAUGGGGGAAACCCUGAUGCAGCGACGCCGCGUGAGCGAAGAAGUAUUUCGGUAUGUAAAGCUCUAUCAGCAGGGAAGAAAAUGACGGUACCUGACUAAGAAGCUCCGGCUAAAUACGUGCCAGCAGCCGCGGUAAUACGUAUGGAGCAAGCGUUAUCCGGAUUUACUGGGUGUAAAGGGAGCGCAGGCGGUCCGGCAAGUCUGAUGUGAAAGGCGGGGGCUCAACCCCCGGACUGCAUUGGAAACUGUCGGGCUGGAGUGUCGGAGGGGCAGGCGGAAUUCCUAGUGUAGCGGUGAAAUGCGUAGAUAUUAGGAGGAACACCGGUGGCGAAGGCGGCCUGCUGGACGACAACUGACGCUGAGGCUCGAAAGCGUGGGGAGCAAACAGGAUUAGAUACCC
rnacentral:rRNA from 1 species